rnacentral:rRNA from 1 species
GUCCACGCUGUAAACGAUGAGUAUUAAGUGUCGGGAGCAAUCUCGGUGCUGCAGUUAACACAAUAAAUACUACGCCUGGGGAGUACGGUCGCAAGACUGAAACUCAAAGGAAUUGACGGGGACUCGCACAAGCGGUGGAGCAUGAGGUUUAAUUCGAUGCAACGCGAAAACCUUACCAGGUCUUGACAUACUAUUGCCAGGACUAGAGAUAGUCCCUUUUUCGGAACAAUAGAUACAGGUGGUGCAUGGUUGUCGU